rnacentral:lncRNA from 1 species
UCCUUUACAGACAUUUAUUCUAAUUUGAACUUCUUAUUCUCUUUUUUUCCUUCCCAAAUUAUAGGUAUAGGAUUAUAGGUAUGCACCACAGUGCCUGGUUUAUAAGGUCCUUGGACUUGAACUAAGGGCCUGGUACAUGCUAGGUACUCUAUCAGCUGAGCUAUAUCCACACUAUCCCCAAUUUGAACUUCCAAGAUGAAAAAGCCAUAAAUAAACUUGGACCUUGGAAGAUACACAGAUAUAGCAAAGAUGGAUGAGUAACAAGGGAAAUACUCCCUCUAACUCAGAUUCUGUGUUAGCUUCUGUUAGCUUCUCACGAAGCAAUGAGCUAAGUACUGCUUGGUGCUCUUCAGUCGUGUCUGACAAGGGAUUGAACUCAGGUCAACCCGGUUGUACCCUUUUGUUGCAUCUUUGUGCUGGCCUGUUUUUGAGUGAACACUAAUUUUCUUAUGGGAAUGGGUGUCCAUGAAGUUCAGGAUGUGUGGUGUUUGGCAGAGGCACAUGUGUUAUAGGCUUGAGCAUCACUGAACUGUUAGCUGGGAGACAAUGCAAGGGACCAGGGGAGAGAUAGGGCUCUUUUUUCUGUUACCCAUCUCUGAGGCUGGAACUUUUCAUGUGCCUGGCUGACUCAUUAAAUAAAGAGCCCCGAGAGAACA